rnacentral:rRNA from 13 species
GGUGUGUAAGCGCAGCGAUGCGUUGAGCUAACCGGUACUAAUGAACCGUGAGGCUUAACCUUACAACGCCGAAG